AUUGAACGCUGGCGGAAUGCUUUACACAUGCAAGUCGAGCGGCAGCGCGGGGCAACCUGGCGGCGAGCGGCGAACGGGUGAGUAAUGCAUCGGAACAUGUCCAUGUCGUGGGGGAUAGCCCGGCGAAAGCCGGAUUAAUACCGCGUACGCCCGAGAGGGGAAAGUGGGGGACCGCAAGGCCUCACGCGAUUGGGUUGGCCGAUGUCCGAUUAGCUAGUUGGUGGGGUAAAGGCUUACCAAGGCGAUGAUCGGUAGCUGGUCUGAGAGGAUGAUCAGCCACACUGGGACUGAGACACGGCCCAGACUCCUACGGGAGGCAGCAGUGGGGAAUUUUGGACAAUGGGGGCAACCCUGAUCCAGCCAUUCCGCGUGAGUGAAGAAGGCCUUCGGGUUGUAAAGCUCUUUUGUCCGGAGCGAAACGGUUGUGGUGAAUAUCCGCGACUACUGACGGUACCGGAAGAAUAAGCACCGGCUAACUACGUGCCAGCAGCCGCCGUAA
rnacentral:rRNA from 1 species